rnacentral:lncRNA from 1 species
UUUUUUCAAAUGCAAAUCACCAAAGUGGCAUCAUCUGGUGAAGACUUGCAGUAGGCAGCCGAAUGGUUCUGCAUAGGAUCUCCCGGACAGAAAUGCUAUACGGUCAUUUCGUUUCACUCUAGGACUCUAGAGUAAGCAGUGACUAGCUGUGUACACUAUGAUGCUUUGUCAUGACUGACACCUAGCAUGGCAAUACAGCAUGCCACUAUAAUGGUGUCAACAGUGUUGGAUAGUUUGUCUGCUCCAAUGGAUGGUGGUGCAUGAGAAAUAGACUUGUCAGGAAGGCCAGUUGGACCUCUGUACCCCAGGUUUGCAGUUUGGCCAGUGGAUAUUUGGAGCAAAUCCACUAACACUCAGGGAUGGGUGACAAAUGCAUAGUCAUCAACAGGUAUUACACUGAGCCUGAAUCACAGUCAUCACUGCCCAGCUCGGCUUGGGAGCGGAGUGACCUAGCAAUGCUACCAUUCUAGGCAGGUGGCAAAAGCAGCAUCAGUUCCUGGCAGUGCAUAAUAUCCCACACAU